CCUGAAUAGGCUCGUCUCGAGUCGCGUGGAUUUUUACUUUUCCUCAGCAGAAGACGUCGACGGUAAAUUGGGGCACUCAAGCUUUGGUGGUUCAGUGGAGUUCUCACCUUGCCACAUGAUUCCCGGCCAAUAACCCCAAGCUUGAAGGUGAAACGUCUGAUCACAGUCCAGAGACGAACAGGAAUCAACGGACAUCCUGAUGAUGAUGCACGGUGUGAGUCUGCUGCCAUCCAUCUAAAUUCAUCUUUUCCUGGUGAGUGUUUUCUAAAAAGGUUGCUAAGCUGCACUUAACAGAGCUCUUCACUGAAACCUCAGGGAACUGAAGAAACAUGAAGGAACAUGCUGCAACUGGUUUUUCAAAUAACGAAGGAAAGGCAUUUAUCUUACAAACUAAACAGAAAAUUAAAGUAAAAGCUUUCAAGUUUCAAUCGAGAACAAAAACGAAACAGAAUUCUAAACUGUUCGAUCAGUUCCAUUUAAAAACAAAACAUGAUUUCAAAUUCUCAGAAUUUCUUCUCUUAGUUCAGAUGGUUUAGACUGGGGGUCGGCAACCGGCGGCUCCGGAUCCACACUCUUUCAUGCUUGUGCUGCGGCUCUCUGUGUUUUUUAAAAAUAACUCCUGUUCUAAGAGUGUCGUGGUGCCUUUAACACCAUCAGGUAGUGCGAGCAGGAAGAAGAGAGCAUCGUGAACGUGCGGAGGGGGCGUGUGAACGCUGACCAGAGUCUGUUAUGGGAUGGAAAGUUUUUCUGGAAAGGCGGUCAGUGGAAAUCUCGUAGGAGACGCUUGAACGCCCAAAAAAAAGCCUCCCCCCAAUUUCCCAUAUUACCACCAACUUCCAGGUAAAAUUAAUUCAAUUUGCAUUGGGGCACCCCUACUAUUCUGUCACCUUGCUGCUACGAUGACAGUAUGUUUCGCUGUCUGUGUAGAACACGCUGGGGGGGAUUGCACACGGGGGAAAACAACGAACUGGUAGAGAGGUGGGGCCGGGGCUUAAACUCACCGCUUAUCAUUCCAGACAAACUAACAGCUGUUUCCUAAUAAAAACAUAGUUGUCAGUUGUCAUCCGUUAAUAUAAUUUAUUGGCUUUACUGGAUUUAAAGGAAAAAAAAUGGAAAGGAGUCUGCAUCAAAGUGAAUCUGUUUCCAUCAUCUCACUUAUCUUAACUCUGUUUGACAGACGGAAAAGUCUAUUCAAGGUUGUGGAAAAUGGACAAAAGAUCAAAGGAAACAUCACGCUCAUAA